UACGUAGGGUCCAAGCGUUGUCCGGAUUUAUUGGGCGUAAAGAGCUCGUAGGCGGCUCAGUUAGUCGGAUGUGAAAACUCGGGGCUCAACCCCGAGACGCCAUCCGAUACUGCUGUGGCUAGAGUCUGGUAGGGGAACACGGAAUUCCUGGUGUAGCGGUGAAAUGCGCAGAUAUCAGGAGGAACACCGAUGGCGAAGGCGGCUCUCUGGAACGCAACUGACGCUGAGACGCGAAAGCGUGGGGAGCAAACAGG
rnacentral:rRNA from 1 species